rnacentral:snRNA from 1 species
GGACGUGAGGGCGAUCAGGCUGUGACAUCUCUCACCCCAUUGAUCACCAGGGUGGAUUCAGCGGAUCCACCAAGCAGGGCAGAUGUCCCUUUCCUCCCUCACCCCUCCCAUGUGGGUCCCUCCUGAAGGUCAGCCCUGGGUCCGAAAGAAUGACCUUCCCCCAGAGGAGGACUGCUCUUCUGUCAGGGGUAUACGAGAACCUGUACCCCUUCCCCAACCCAGCUAGGACCUCCCAACAAGCUCUCAAGCUCCAUUUGUGGAGAAAAUAAGGUAGUUAAGCUCCUGAGACUCCAGAGACAUCCAAAUGAGGCACUGCCUGUGACAGGCUGCCGCUGCCU